rnacentral:ncRNA from 1 species
UACCUGGUUGAUCCUGCCAGUAGUCAUAUGCUUGUCUCAAAGAUUAAGCCAUGCAUGUCUAAGUAUAACAAGUUGUG